GCCUGGGUGGCUCAGUCGGUUGAGCGUCCGACUUCGGCUCAGGUCAUGAUCUCAUGGUUUGUGGGUUCGAGCCCCAUAUUGGGCU
rnacentral:tRNA from 1 species